UGAGUUCGUUUUGAUUCAUGCUUUAUAGACAGUUAACAUUUAGAACAUUCUAAUCAGAGUGUUCCAGGGGUGGGUGGUUAGCAUUUCAAGUCAGUCUAACCUCUUGAGGUGGCCACCACAAGUUUUCAGCAAUCUUUAUCUUGGGUCAAUGUCAGAGGCUUUGUUAAUCAACAUAAUGGAUGCUAGAAAUUGUUUCUCAUUGGUGAAAUACGAAGUAUUCAAGAUGUGUGGAUGGGCUUGAAUUUUGUACGGGGACUCCCACUCUUGCAUGAGCGGAGUUUGAGUGUCCAGGGAAUCCAACAAUACAUGAGUUCUCAAACCUGGCUACACACUGUGAUCGCGCAGCCUUAAGAAAUCUGAUACCGGAGUUCUGCCUGCCAACCUUGACUUAACUGGUGUGCUCCACAUUUAGCUCAGCUGCUUAGGAGCUAGCUGUGUGACCUUGAGCAAGUUACUAACCUCUGUGAGCCUCAGUUUUCUCAUCUACAACCUGGGUAUAAUAAUAUGCUUACCUCAUCUGGUAGUUGUGAGGAUUUAAAUGAGUUAAUUUAUGUUGAGCGCUUAGUGUAAGAAGCAGCUCUCAACUACGUGCUAGCUGUUAUAUUAUUCGCAUUCGCACUAUUUUGAUUCUGAUUUUUGGAAGAGUUCCUAAGACAUGAUUAUAGUGUCCAGCUGCUAGUUGGUUGAAUCGUGCAACUAGAAUAUUUGCCUUGAAUGAACCUUUCAGAUGAGAUGCCAUAGGAACUCCUAAAAAGACAGAGGGAGCCAGAACUUGAUCUUGCUUCCAGAAUACAUUGUAGGAACUGCUUGAGUGCCAGCUUGCUGAUAAAUGUCUGUGUAGGUGGCAGGACUUAGUCUGACACUUGCUUUCAGUGAAACCUGGUGGGAAAUUUGUAGAGCACAGAACUUUGGCUCAUAUCUACCUCUGGUUCAGGGCUUCUUAUUCCUUUCUAGGGCGAUGGACCCCUUCAGCAGCCUGGUGAAGCCUACAGAUAACAUUGCAGGAUGAUGCUUCUAAAUGCAUCAAACAAAACACUAGGAUGCAGCAGAAAUAAAUUACAUUGAAGUACAGCUAUUGAAAUGUUAAUGAACAAAUUUAUUAUAAUAUGUGCACUCCUUUAUGAAUGCCUUAAAUAGCAAUGUCUAGCAGUGGGUAGUGAUAAGCCCGAAAGAUAUUCUAGGAUAUUUGAUAACAAUUGUAACAUGAUAUGAAAAAAUUUAUCUGUGAUUUCUAUUAGUGACAAAGUCACAAGUAUUCUUAUACGGCUGUAACUGGUUGUCUCACUCAUAAUGAAAGACGAUGCUAAGUUUCAGUUAAAGGUUAACGAAAAUAAAGAUGUUAUUUUUUUUUUUUCUUAUCCAAGUUCAUGGACCUUCUUGAAUUCCAUGACCCCCAGAUUAAAAGCUCUUAUUGGGAGGCUGCUAAUAGCUGCCCAACUAAUAAUUGGGACACAACAAGCAUUGUUCCAUCAGACUGUGAAGCUACUCAAUGGAAAGGAAAGGUGCCGUGGGAGAAUUUUUUUUUUUCAGUUGCUGUUGCCAUAUAACAAAAGACUCCAAGGCUUAGUGGCUUAGAACAAUGAUUUAUUAAUUUCCUCAUGAUUCUGUAGGUCGAGUAGUUGGCCAGAGCUCAGGUGGGCAACUUUCUGCUGGUCUCAGUUGGGUUUUUUCAUGUGCCUCCCUUCACUUAGGAGGUUGGCCAGACCUGGAACUUCCAAGUUGGCCUCGCAUUUUAUGUGUUUCUACUCAGGCUGCCGUAACAAAACAGCACAGGCUGAGUGACUUAAACAACAGAAAUUUAUUUCCCCACAGCUCUGGAGUCUGGAAAGUUUCUGGCAGUGUUUGGUUUCUUGUGAGGGCUGUCUUGCUGGUGUACAGACAGAUGCCUUGUUGCUGGGGUGGGAAGAGAGCUCUGGUCUCUCUUCUUAUAAGGAAGAUACUCUCAGAUCAGGGCUCUACCUUUAUGGUCUCAUUUGAUCUUACUGAUUUCCAGAAAAGACCUAUCUCCAAAUACAGUCACGUUGGGGAUUAGGGCUUCAACAAGAAUUUCAGGGGGGAUCAAUUCAGUCCAUAGCAUCCUCCAAGGCCUCUCUUCAUGCAUAACCUGUGACCAUGCAGUUGGGUAGCCUGAAUUUCCUCCUAGCAUGACCUCUGGGCUCCAGAGAGACAAAGAAGCCCCUGCCAACCCUUCAGGCCUGGGCAUGGCAGUUCAAAAUUAAUUCUACAACCUUCUAUUGAUCAAAACAAGUCACAGGCCAGUCCAGAUCCCAGGGGAGAGAAUAUGGGCCCCACCUCUUUUUUUAAUGACUUUUUGGGGGGAGAGAGAGAGAGAAUGAGAGAGAGAACAAAUGGGGGAGGGGCAGAGAGAGAGGGAGACAAAGAAUCCGAAGCAGGCUCCAGGCUCUGAGCCGUCAGCACAGAGAGACGCGGGGCUCGAAUUCACACAUCAUGAGAUCACGACCUGAGCCGAAGUUGGACACCUAACCAACUGAGCCACCCAGGCGUCCCUACGGUCCCACCUCUUAACGUGAUGAAUGGCACAAAAGCACCGGGAGAAGGGGAAUUACCAGGGCCACGUCUGGACUCUCUUCACCGCAGAGACCGAGGAGGACUGGGGACGCCUCAGACCCAGGAUGAGAGAAAGCCCACACGGAAGCUCCAUGAGGACAGAGUUCUGCUCUUCGCUGUUGAGCCAGAGCCCGUGCAGGGCCCUGGAGGGAUGGGCUCUGGCUCACAAUAUUUGCGGACUGAAGAAGUGGAUGGGGGAGAUGCCGAUGAGUCAACGCUGCCUGAUUGUGAUGCUGGCUAUUGGCCCUGAGCCACACAGCAGACAGUAAGCAGGCAUUCGUGGAGACGACCUGGGUCUCGGGUCCACAGAGACCUUGAUGCCGAAGCCCUUCCUUGAGGCUGAUGUUCUGCCACAUUUCUGUGGGUUUCAGAUGCUCUGUUUUUUUCCUUCAAAUUUUAAUGUUUUCGAAAGCACAAUUGAUCUUACCACCGAGCUGUACAGUUAAUGAAGUGUCUUUUUUGUUGGUCCCUGUGAAGCAGUUACGAAAUCAAUGGUGAGUCCCACAGUCAAUGGCAUUUUGGAAUUGAGGUAAUUCCAUUUGUGGCCUUGGGUAAAGUCUUUGCUUUUCUGAGACCUAAUUUCCUUAUCUAUAAAAGGGCAGAGUUGUCGUAAAUAUUGGAGAUGUAUAUAAUGGCCUCAGCACAGUGACUGGUGGCUUUAAUUCAUCAAUAGAAAGUCUAUUAUGAGUUUCAUAAAAUAUGUGUCAGAUUAGUGUUUUGUGAGAAUAAUCCAUAUCCUUGUAUGGUCGGUGACACAUUUGGCCACUCGCAGUUUUAAAAAGGAAAAGAAAGGGAUUUUAGGGGCUCUUUCCUCUUUACAUUUUAAUUAAUACUGUACAAAACCUUCCUCUAGUAUCUUUAUGUUGUGAGACAAGC